rnacentral:rRNA from 1 species
GACGAACGCUGGCGGCGUGCUUAACACAUGCAAGUCGAACGGAAAGGCCCUGCUCUUGUGGGGUGCUCGAGUGGCGAACGGGUGAGUAACACGUGAGUAACCUGCCCUUGACUUUGGGAUAACUUCAGGAAACUGGGGAUAAUACCGGAUAGGAGCUCCUGCUGCGUGGUGGUGGUUGGAAAGAUUCGGCGUUGGGGGAUGGACUCGCGGCUUACCGGCUUGUUGGGGGGGUAGUGGUUUACCAAGGCUGUGACGGGUAGCCGGCCUGAGAGGGUGACCGGCCACAUUGGGACUGAGAGACGGCGCAGACUCCUACGGGAGGCAGCAGGGGGGAAUAUUGCACAAUGGGCGGAAGCCUGAUGCAGAAACGCCGCGUGCGGGAUGACGGCCUUCGGGUUGUAAACCGCUUUCGCAGGUGACGAAGCGUGAGUGACGGUAAUGGGUAAAGAAGCACCGGCUAACUACGUG